GUGCGGCCGUGGCCGCGCCGUGUCCGCGGGCCGGGGCGGGCGCCGGCUGACCCCGGCUUUGGGGUUUUCUUGUCUCUUUUUUUACCUCCUCCUGUCACACCUUGCCGAGUGAUCCCAAAAUCCAUUUGUCACACUCCAAAAUCUGAUUCCUGCAGCAUGCACUUUUUUGCAGCCACACCCUCUGAAUCACGUCUCAGAUGCUGCCACUCAACUUUCACAUCCUGCCACAGAUCCCUGAGAAGCAGUAGCUCAGUUCUUGUACCUGAACCACAAACAUGAACCUGUGAAGCUCAGACUACAACAGACUUCUCUUAAACCCAUACAUUUGAUGGUCUUUGGAGAAAGCAAUGGACAGAGCGGCAGGAAGUAUGAGAUCUACAUUAUAACUUUGCUUCCAGGAAGUUUUGAAAGUCCAUGAGGAACCCAUAAGGGUAAAAACGACCUCCAUUUUUCUAUUAUAUCUUUACCUAAUCACCUAAAAAAUUACUAUCUGCUGCAAUACUCUCAUUCAAAUAAAUUCCUCAUUGCCUUAGGCACAUGCUGAGGUGAGUGUGGGAACUGAAGGUGUUUCCAGUUUGUAAAAAUAAGAACUAUAUAGGUGGAUUUAGACUAAAAGGAGAGAACGGCCAAAAGGGAUGGAGAAGGGACAUUGUCAGAGCCAGAACAAGACAACAGCACAUGGACACAGAUAGGUGGACACUCAUCCUUACACACACACACAGUGUCUCAGCAGCUUGGUACUUCAAUUGGAGCAAUCAUCUGUGUUGAUUGGACUAGACCUAUGUAAAUUUAGGAUCAGGUUUCUGGACAACAGCUAGUGAAUGUGCCAAUAUGUCUGUAUGUAAUGAAGUGUAAUAAAUGUAAAAAUAGGUCAGAAACCUGAAAAAAUGUCCUGAAAAAAAAAAAGUAUGCAGGUAAGUUUUUUUUUUAAGAAAGUAAUUUAGAAUCAGCCAUUGUACUGUCAGCAAUUUAAAUAUAAGUUUGGUUUUUCCAAUUUUAAAAUAUAUGAGUCACUUCAAUGUUUGUGACAAUGAUGGUCUUAGAGAUGCAAGUAAUUCAAGACUUGCAGAGAACAGGAAUGAUUGUGAUGCAAGUUGCAUGUUGGAGAGCACAUCCAACUACUUGAGAGAUUGCUUUACUAAUUACCUUAGCUGGUUCUAGUGUCUUCCAUUUUGCAUAUGAAGCCAACAAAGCAGAGGUGAGAACCUGACACCAGGCUCUGUGGAUGAGCUCUGCGGUUAGGAAGGGAAAUGUGCACUGUUCUCACUUUCCACCCCUGCUCUAGCUAAAAGCAAAGCUAAGUAGACCAAAUACAAAACUAGAAGUUUUGCUAUUAUUGUUACCUAGAAAAACAACCUAAAUUGUUAUGGAAUGGGUUUGCCUCAGUAGCAGCACAGACAUUCCUCUGAUUCUACAUUCUCAGCCUAGCCUUCUCUUUUCCCAUAUACGCUACCUCUCUUCUGGUUGAUACCAGAGAUAGGAUUUGGGCUCACACCCGAGACAGGAUUUGGCAAACAUCUGUAAGAUCUUGAAAAGCACGAACAAAGUUAGCAAGGGUCAGUUGUUUAAUGUCCCCUCCAAUACAAGAACUGAGGAUCAAGUAGGUGGGAUGGUCAAAACAAGAAUAAUUUUUCUUUUUUCACAGCUCAUUGAAGAAAGUGACAGAAGGCUCUGCUGCAAGGAAGCAUUGAUGCUGCAGUCACACUUAGUAGCCCAAUGUACUAAUCUACUAGGAGUGUUUCUUGCAGAGCAUGGGUGGCCUUGAAGCAGAGCUCUCCAGUCAGACACUUCUGUGACUAAUGGGCAAAGGCAUCAGAGGCAUGUGGGGAUUAUCAGCGGAUGUGCAGGAGGAAGGAGGUUGGGAAUGGUGUGUGUGCCAGGAGGGGCUGGAGCAGUGAGGUGCAAAGGGGGUCUGGCAGUUUCACACCCCAGAGUGAUGAAGUGUGGGGUGAUGGCAGUGACACGACUGCUGUGCACUGGCUGGUGCAGGACCGUGGGGCUAAAUCCACAGGGAGAAUGAAUAGCCCUAAAUAAAUACAACUAGGACCACACUUGGGCAUUACUACCAAAGACAGUGUAAGUGCAUACCAUUUCAUUAAUCAUCAUUGCAGCUUGUCACUAUAUAGAAAUUAGUUAUUAUAUUAUUAGAAUUGUAGAUAUUAAAUAUUCACUAACAAUUGUCUAAACUAAUUAAGAUGCAGGAUUCAUUUGUGAUGUUUAUGGCUUUCAUUAGUGACAGAACUUGAGAAAAUAAUAAUGAGAGAACAUAUAAUAAGAAUAUAUCACAGAUCUAUAUGUUUAUUUGUGUUUAAUACUGACUAAAAGAGUAUGAUGAGAAUUCUUUAAAUUGUCUGAAAUCUUCUGCAUAAAAAAAAUCUUGUAAACACCUGUUCUCUGGUAGAUAGGUGUUUGAGGUUCCCUGAUGUCAAGACAUUCCAAUUUCAGAUAUGUGGUAUAAUACAGCCAUUCAAUUUAAUGUACUUGUAUGGGGACAACAGGAAUGUCAGCUGGCAUUUGCUGAGGUCCCCUGAAACAGCCUUGAUCACCUAAAGAUCUUACAGUGCUUUGCAGCCAUGAGAGUAUUCUGGGGCAACUAGAGAUAAAGAAAAACAAGACUAAUUCCAGUCAGUAAAGCUGAAACCUUGAUCCCUUCCUGCUUUCCUCUGUGCUUCUCACUUCUUAUAAUCCCAAAUCAUAGGGAUUAUGAUUUAUACUUUCCUGUUACCUUUUAUAUGACAUGGACCAGCCCUAAAUCCCUUCCCUGACCUUCUCACCGAGGAAACCAUGGAUCCAAUCAAGCUCAUCUCCCUCCUUUACUCAUAUAGCUGCCCUCUUUAUAUCUCUACUGUGUUCCUGCCAAUUCCUUUCAGCACACCCAAAUGAGUUGUGCUUAGGUUGUGUUCUCACCUGCCAUCCUGCUCAUAGCUAUCACUUGUUUGAAAUCUCUGCUGUACCAUGUCCCCUGCUAUGGAAUUAAUCUCUGUGCUUGCAAGGUCCUGCACAACUUGGUUCCCCCUCAAGCCAAAUACAUUUUCAGAGGUUUUUUUCUAUUCUUCUCUUUUCUGUUUUAUGCUUGCCUUGAAAGCCUUCCCCUAUCAAUUGGCAUGUAUCAGUCCCUGGUUUAUCCCAUGUAUGAUGCUUUUCUUCUCCACAUUGCAAAUAUCAUUCUCAGUUUUCCCAGGAACUUUCCCAAUCACAUUUUGGUGAUUCCAGCACACAAGCUUGUCAUUUAGUUCAGUAUAGCUUCUUCGUAGGCAUGAGGAGUGGCAAGGGGGAAAGAAGAUCCCUGACAAUAUUGCAAAAUAAUUGUAUAGAGAAUCCAAUGUAGCCACAAACCAUGAUGAUGGCAUAAGCAUGGGAAAAGUAACAGCAUGGGGGAAAAUCAGAAAUAUGAGUUUAAUAGGAGAUACAAGUUUUGUUAAUCAAUUGCAUUUUAAGCACAGAACAAAUUAUGCAAUUUUAUAGAAGUUUUAACUAAAAUCCAUGCAUUUCACAAAAUGAAACAAAAACUUGUUAGCAAACCAAGACUUCAGCCAUUUAAAGAGGCGAUGUUUUUGGAAUGGCAAUUAAAUGGCACUUUUCUAAUAGUAGUACACUGAAUGGUAUCAGAAUUGGGAACUAUGCUGUUUCUUGCCUCCAGCUAUCUCAGUUCAGAUCUUUCAUAGCAGAAGAACUUAGAGAUCCUGAGGGAUUUUUUUCCCCUCUACAACACUGUACUGAAAAUAACCCCCUAGGAGGUCAUAGGGUUACAUGGAAAAUAGUAGUUUAAUUUAUUCAUCCUAAAUAGCAAAAGGCAUAUUUUAGCAUGUAUUAAAAAUAGACUCAUUUAAUGCACUUUUUCAGUCUAGUGUCUGAUUUUGCUGUUGAUUUAUUUCAUUUCUGCACAGUGCAUUCUCCUUGAAGAAAUUUGUAGGCUGUUGUUGACAAUUUCUUCAGAUAAACGUGCACAUAAGAAUAGACAGGCUCAUGGUUUUUUUGGAAAAAUGAAUGUGCAGGAAGUGCUUCUCUUUCUACAUCAAUCCCUAGGCACCACCUAAUGGUGUCUUAGCUUUCUUAACCGCAUUUCUUUGAGGAGAGGAAAACCAUUUUCAUUUUAUGUAUCUUUCUGUAGCCACAGUUUAGCAGUCAGUGGUACUGGAGGAAUACAAUUAAUUGAUUUCCUACAUAUGCUGCCACUCUUCUAUGUCAUAAUAUAUGCUAUCAUAUCCCAAAUAUACAAGGUUUUUGGGAUAAUCACAAUUGUUAUAGAUUUACCCAAUAGAUGGCUGUGUUGUGAAAAUAAAUUAGUAACUUCCAAAGCAAAGAUAGCCAUUUAAAAGAAUGCAGUAAAUACCAUGAUUGCACUGACAGAUACAUCUGAAUUGCAAAAUUUGCUCCUCCUGCCUAUUAAUCUAGUGUGAAGGUAUAAAGGGACUUGUUUGAAUUUAUCUCGGAACCACUCAUUUCAAAACUGGCUUUUUCCUUCUGUAAUGCUCCUACAGUAAUGAUCACAAGACCAUUUCAUUGAUUCCUCUGUCUUUGAAGAGUUCAUGGUUCUACAUUUAAGGUAAAAAAAAGCCAGAUUUUGUUUGUUUUCAGUGUAUGUGGCAAGGCCAUACUUUUACCAGAGUACUUGGGAGGAGCAGUUGCCAAUUACGAAUUGGUAAAAGUGGUAACAGAAAUGACGUGGACAAGUAUGGUACAAGCAGAUCACAGCCACAUGAUAGGCGCUGAUGUUAUUUAUGUGCUUGCAUAUUUUUAGCUAUUGGCAAUGCCUGUCACAGUAGAGAGGGGUGGUGGAUACAAAUGGAAAGAAUACUUUGAAAAGGAUGUUAUUUUUAUACUGAGCUUCUCAUAUUGCUCAACUGAUGUUGCCUCAACACGACACUGAACACAGUCAGAGAAAAGGUGUCAGUCACAAGACAGUAAGACCUGGCAGUAAGACACUGGUCAGAUCAAAAGUCCAUCUGUUUCAGCAUUCUGUACAACUAGGUGAUGUUUAAAAGAAAGUGUUUCCUUUUGUUUGGUUCCAAUACAGCUUUUCUGCUUCUAAGAAACAAUGAAUCACCAUAGUUAUAGGACUGAUUUUAUGUUCCCUCCACCUUUAAUCAUCUUUUUUCCAUGAAGAAAUGUGGUAUUUGGUUUCCCUUGUAUAGAACCUAUUCCUUAUUUGUGAUCCAUACUGCUUAACUGAACCUGUAUCUUAUCUAGUGCUACUACACUGGUCUUGGAGAUAAUAAGCAGAAGUGCAUGUAUUUGAGAUUCAAGGUUGGUACAACAGCAUCAUAAUGUUUUCCUGGUUUGUUCUCUAGUAUUUUCAUAAGGAAAUAAUUGCAAUGUUCAGUUUGUCUUUUCUUGCCACAGGGCAUGGUGUUGCCUAUUCAAAUCCCUUUCAUGAAUAGUUACAGCUAAGAGGUCUCUGUUUUGUAUUUUUCUUUCAAGUGCCUGUGUUUGAAUUUGAUAAGCAUACAUUAUAUGAGGUUUUACUGUCUGGUUGCUCAGCAUUGGUUAAAAUUUUCUUCAACUCCUUGCUGUCUGCUUUAGUUGUGACUUUGAUCCACAACUUGUUAUCUUUGCAAACUUCCCUGCUUCAGUAUUCAGCUCUAUGUUGUCAUUUGUGAAUAGCUUGUACAGCAGGAUCUGGACAGCUGUAGAUCCAGUGGAACCCUAUUUUCUUUGUUAUUUGUGGAAAAUCUUUUUUUUUUUUGAUCUCCCAUCCAGUUGUUUGCCCAUGGAUUAUCUUUGCACCCAUUCUAUGAGAAGUUAAUUUCUUCAGAAGUUCUUAGUGAGGUGCCUUUCUUAAAGAAGCAUUUUACAAAUCCAAAUACAUAAAAAUCACCAGCUCAGCCUCAUGAUUAUAAUAUCUGCUAUACAAAUUCAAUUCUCAAACACCAUAUUGAUUGUUCCUUCAUAUUUUAAUUUACUCAAAUUUCUACUUGUUUUAUUUUACAAUAAUUUCAAUUAGUUUGCCACCCACGAAAGUCAGACUUGGGUAUUGUUCCUCAGAUAACCCCUGAGAUCAGUAGUUUUUAAAAACUGGUGACAUGUCUGUCAUCUUCUGUUCUCCUGGUUGAUUGAAAUGUUGGGUUAAACACCACAGUUUUCAAGUGAGGAAUUUCAUGGCUGAAAUUCUUGAAUGACCUUUCCAUGCUCUGUCAGUAACUUACUAUUUCUUUAACUGAUGAAACUGACAACCUUUCCUUAUGAUGAAUCAGCAUAAGAGAGUUCUCAGAUUAUUUUUCAGUUCUUGAAAUGUCCCACUACCCAUCUAAGAUUUCCCUUUUGGAUCAAAGUUGUUCCAUUCCAUCAGAAGGCAUUCUUAAAAAGACUGAUCUCACUCAAUGCCUAUAGUUUGAUUUCCUUCAAUCCUUCUGAACUACAUCUCAUGAGAUGUUGUAAUUAAAUGCACGUCUCCAUGGAAUCAAACAGAAAGACCAGAAAGAAAUGGACUAUUUGGAGGAUGAUAUGAAGGAUUAUAAGAAAUCAGGAGGAUGAUAUGAAGGAAUAUAAGAAAUAAUAAUAAAGUAACAAGAUUGAACCAAAACCAGAAGAGGGACAUUUCCUUUACCUGAAGUUUCAUAAAGAAUAACAUUUUUGGAACAAUUUUCAUUAUGUAGAGGAAUGCUUUGUUGACAUAUAUUAAUAUGCUAUCCAAGGACUGAGAAAAGAUGACCAGGGAAUUUCAAUAAAAUUUUAUAUAACUAUCUUUUACACUAUGUAAAAUAAAUAAUUACUUUUUUUGACUCAGUCUAAACUAACUCUCCCAUUUCCCAAAACUAUUCCGAAUAAAAUUUGUAUUUGAACAACCAUUCAGAAUUAAAAAAUGUGGAAGCAAAGCUA